UACGUAGGGGGGCUAGCGUUGUCCGGAUUUAUUGGGCGUAAAGAGCGUGUAGGCGGCCAGGUAGGUCUGCUGUGAAAACUCGAGGCUCAACCUCGAGACGUCGGCGGAAACCAUCUGGCUAGAGUCCGGAAGAGGAGAGUGGAAUUCCUGGUGUAGCGGUGAAAUGCGCAGAUAUCAGGAAGAACACCCGUGGCGAAGGCGGCAUCCUGGACCAAUUCUGACGCUGAGGAGCGAAAGCCAGGGGAGCAAACGGG
rnacentral:rRNA from 1 species